UGAUUUCCAGCUGAUCCUACUGGCGGAAACCGCUAUCGAAAUCCGGCUUAAGACAUGCAAGUCACAAGGCUCGGAAGAGUUCUUGGCGAACGGCUCAGUAACACGUAGCUAAUCUACCCUUGAGAGGAGUUAACCCCGGGAAACUGGGAUUAAUGCUCCAUAGACAAUAUAUACUGGAAUGUUUUAUUGUCCAAAUGGUCUUUCUAUUCCGAAAGUAAUCGCUCAAGGAUGAGGCUGCGGCGCAUUAGGUUGUUGGCGGGGUAACUGCCCACCAAGCCGAUGAUGCGUACGGGCCCUGAAAGGGGGAGCCCGGAGAAGGGAACUGAGACAAGGUCCCUAGCCCUACGGGGUGCAGCAGUCGCGGAACCUUUACAAUGCACGAAAGUGUGAUCGGGGGAUUUCGAGUGCUCUCACUGAGAGCUUUUGCCAAACCUAAAUCGUUUGGCGAAUAAAGAGGGGGUAAUAUACGUGCCAGCCGCCGCGGUAAUACGUAACCUCUAAGUGGUUUCCACUUGUAUUGGGCCUAAAACACCUGUAGCCUGUGUAAUCAGUCCUUGGUGAAAUCUGACCGCUCAACGGUUAGAAUUGCUAAGGAUACUGUUAUGCUUGAGGAAGGAAGACGUAAAGAGAAUUUUUGGGGUAGCGGUGAAAUGUGAUGAUCCCAAAAGGACUACCAGUAGCGAAGGCGCUUUACGAGGACUAUCCUGACGGUGAGAGAUGAAAGCUGGGGGAGCGACCAGGAUUAGAUACCCUGUUAGUCCCAGCCGUAAACGAUGUGGACUAGGUGUUCUGUAUUCUACAUGGAUAUGGAGUGCCGUAGCGAAGGCAUUAAGUCCACUGCCUGGGGAGUACGCCCGCAAGGGUGAAACUUAAUGGAAUUGGCGGGGGCUCACUACAAGGGGUGGAUGCUGCGGUUUAAUUGGAUACAACGCCCGAAAAUCUUACCAGGGAAGACAGCAGAGUGAUGAACAGCCUGAAGGGCUUUUUUGACGCGCUGAGAGGUCCUGUAUGGCCACCGCCAGCUCGUACCGUGAGGCAUCCUGUUAACUCAGGCAACGGGCGAGACCCACGCUUCUAGUUGCUACUUCGACUUUUGUCGGGGGCACUCUAGAGGGACAGCGAGAGUAAUCUCGAGGAAGGAGUGGUCAACGGUAGGUCUGUAUGAGCCGAAUUUCCUGGGCCACACGCGGCACACAAUGGUUGAGACAAUGGGUUGCUAACCCGAAAGGGGGCGCUAAUCUCCGAAACUCAACCUCAGUUCGGAUUGAGGGUUGUAACUCACCCUCAUGAAGCUGGAAUCCCCAGUAAUCGCAAGUCAUUAACUUGCGGUGAAUACGUCCCUGAGCCUUGCACACACCGCCCAUCAAGCCAGCCGAGUGGAGUUUGGAUGAGUCUGCUUCUUUAUGAUGCAGCCAAUUCUUGGCUUCGCGAGGGGGGCUAAGUUGUAACAAGGUGUCCGUAGGGGAACCUGCGGACGGAUCACCUCCUAAA
rnacentral:rRNA from 1 species